GGGUGUGUGUGGACACCGCGUCUCCGUCAAGGAAGCACGGGGGCUGCAUGUCCACGGCAGCUUUAUUGGCCCGUGCUGGCUGUCCCAGGUGCUGCCGGGCCAUGGCCAGCCCCCCUUCGCCAAGUGUGACCAGGUCACCACCCGCAAGCCCCACAGCAGCCUGAGACCCCCACCCCCGCAGAAGCCAAGACGAAAAUUCCCAGCCGCAAGCCCUGCCCCCGCCCUGGUGGCCCAGGCCCCUCGCAGGUUCGCGUGCGGGGCUCCCGUCCAGGCCAGCCGGCGGUCGGCGCGCUGAGUGUCCUCGGGGGCCGGGCGGCGCCUUUUCCAGCUGUGCCUCGGUACGGGCCUAGGAAGUUUUCCUUCCGGUAGCCCUUUUGCAGCCAACAGUGCCUCCGUGAGCUGCCUGCCCGCAGGCGCUGCCCUGGUCUCCCUCGGGGGCGCCCGGUGUUUGUGCCCCCCCCCCCACAGCCCACACCCGGGGCCCUGCCCACAAACGCACCGCCCGGAAGUCGCGGUGGAGCUUGCUGUACUGCCACAGGUUGGCCAGGAGGCUGGAGGCGGCCCGGGAAGACUUCUCGCUGUCGGGGCUGGCGUGGGGGUGGGGUCAGGGCGGGUGGGCCGCGUGAGCCCGGGCUUCCGGGGUGCUGGGGGGUGCGGGCUGCCGCGGGGGGGUCGGCCCUCAGGGGGGGGGUCGCCCUUGGGGUGGGGGUCCCACGGCGGGGUCAGGCCGGGCCCUCACCUGUCGCACUUCUUCUUGAUGAAGAUGAGCUUGCGGAGACCGUCGAAGUAGAGCAGGUCGCGGGCGGCGAUGGGGCUGGCCACCACGAGGUUGUUGAGCACGGCCACGAUGUUGACCAGCACGUCGGCCGGGGGGCACUUCUCCCCCACGCUGCCCGGGAGCUUCUCAAUCAGGUUGCGGAUGAGGCCGGUCAGCGAGCGCAGCUGGUGGUGGUCGGCGGUCCGCACGCGGUCCAGCAGCGGGUUGAGGAUGCGCUCCUGCUCCAGGGCCAGGCGGCUCAGCACGCCGGCCCACUGCACGGGGAGGGGCUGGUUGAGGCUGCGGCUCUGCCCAGAAGCCCUGGGCCGCCCCCCGCCGGGUGGGCUCUGUGCACCUUGCCCCUCCAGCGGGGCCUCCCCAAGGGCGACUGGCAUCACCUCCUU
rnacentral:lncRNA from 1 species